CCCAGCUUUGAGGAACUCUGGAGGAGUCAGGUGAGUGGACCAUUCCCCAGGUAAGCAGAAAGGUGAUAAGAAACGGUAUCAAGAGUGCCGUCCCUCUCUGAAACAAACAUUCAAUCCAAGACAAGGGUAAGUUCAUUCUAAAGGCUUAGGAGAUUUGUUCUUGAGUAGAUGUCAGAGAGAGCCUAUAUUCCUUGCUAAUUACUGGCUUUCUCUAGAAAAAUCAGAAAGGGUAUCAAAAGGUUUCCAAAUGGAAGCCUAUUAUUUUCUUAUGAAUGUAACCACCCUAAUAUUUUGUUUUCCAGAGGUCAUAUUAGAGUCUACCCUAGAAUCUACAUCUGCCUUUGAGGAGCCGUAUCCCCAGAUAAGAAAACAUGCUUCUUUCCAGUCUGAAGGCCAGACUGGCUGCCACUUCUCUCCGCCUGCCAACGAGUCAUUAGCAAACAAUGAGCAAACCAGCGACUACAAAACAAAAAGGAAAUAGGCAUGCAGCAGCACAAGGUAAUGACAGCUGAGUGUCUGGAGGAUAAAGUAUCCAAGAAUCAGGCUGGAGGCUGCCCUCUUCACGGGGAGCUUCAGGAUGAGGGAAAAAGGGAGGCGAAGCACAGCUGAGGAAUACAGUCUCCAGCCACACAGCUGACUAGGGAGGAGCCUUGAGAUAGGUAUACUUGGGGAGGCUUGGGACACAUUCACCGGGGAUGUGUGCAGCUGAGGGCGUACACAGCUGUGGUAAUGGCUGGUGCAGGAUAUUUCCUCUACCUAGCCCACAGUGGGAAUGUUUGGAGUGAAUAAUUCAAGAAAGUAGUUUCCAGAACACCCAAGUUGAAGCUCUUUGAGUGACAAGUACCAGAAACUCUCUUUAACCUAACUUGAGCGAAAACAGGAAUUUAUCAGAAAGAAUCCUAGAAUGCCUCAUAGAACCAAAGGGCAGGAAUUAUGCAGGGGCUGGGCUGCUUGUGUAUCUGGAGUCAGGAACUAAAAGGCAGUUAAGAAACCAGCCCUUGCUGCCUGCCUCACCCCCAUCCUCCAGCACCACAUGCUUUCUCGACUCUCUCCUCGCACUGUUCCACUUUUGUGUCCUCACUCUGGCAUCUGCUUAAUGUUUAUAUGAUCAAACAUGGUGGCCACAGCCCCAGAGUUUAAUUGUCCUCAGUUCAAAUAUGCCAUAAAACUGAAUAAACAUUUCAUUCCAAUUCCAUAUUUCCAAGAGAGACCAUUCGCUUCACCCUAUUUAGGUUCCUCUGUUUUCUAAGCAACCAUGUGAUAUAAUUUGGCUGUGUCCCCACUCAAAUCUCAUCUUGAAUUGUAGCUUCCAUAAUUCCCACAUGUUGUGGGAGGGACCAGGUGGGAGAUAAUUGAAUCAUGGGAGCAGGUCUUUCCCUUGCUGUUCUCAUGAGAGUGAAUACAUCUCAUGAGCUCUGAUGGUUUUGUAAAGGGGAGUUGCCCUGCACAUGCUCUCUUGCCUGCUGCUGUGUAAGAUGUGACUUUGUUCCUCCUUACCUUCCACCAUGAUUGUGAGGCCUCCUCAUGUGGGACUGUGAGUCAACUCAAUCUGUUUCCUUUAUAAAUUACCCAGUCUCUGGUGUGUCUUUAUUAGCAGCAUGAGAACAGACUCAUACACCAUGAUAAGGUAAAUUCAUGUGCCAUGGCAUGGCAAUGGGGAAUCAUCGCUAUGCAUGGGGAGACAGUUCUCAGAGAAGGGGUUAUGGACUGGGAGGAAAGUCCAAUAAUAAACACACUCACAUUGACUCUCAACGAUCUUAAAGCACAGCUGAGAUGGUUUUAUGAAAUGGCAA
ensembl:lncRNA